UACGAAGGGGGGCUAGCGUUGCUCGGAAUCACUGGGCGUAAAGCGCACGUAGGCGGAUUGCUAAGUCAGGGGUGAAAUCCUGGAGCUCAACUCCAGAACUGCCUUUGAUACUGGCGAUCUUGAGUCCGGGAGAGGUGAGUGGAACUGCGAGUGUAGAGGUGAAAUUCGUAGAUAUUCGCAAGAACACCAGUGGCGAAGGCGCUCUGCUAGGCCGCAACUGACACUGAGGGACGAAAGCUAGGGGAGCGAAUGGG
rnacentral:rRNA from 1 species